rnacentral:rRNA from 2 species
UGAGGAAUAUUGGUCAAUGGGAGGAAUCCUGAACCAGCCAUGCCGCGUGCAGGAAGACGGCUCUAUGAGUUGUAAACUGCUUUUGUACGAGGGUAAACCCAGGUACGUGUACCUGUCUGAAAGUAUCGUACGAAUAAGGAUCGGCUAACUCCGUGCCAGCAGCCGCGGUAAUACGGAGGAUCCGAGCGUUAUCCGGAUUUAUUGGGUUUAAAGGGUGCGUAGGCGGCCCUGUAAGUUAGAGGUGAAAAGCGCGAGCUCAACUUGCGUCGUGCCUCUAAUACUGUAGGGCUUGAGAUUAGUUGCAGAAGGCGGAAUGUGUAGUGUAGCGGUGAAAUGCUUAGAUAUUACACAGAACACCGAUUGCGAAGGCAGCUUUCUAAGCUAAAUCUGACGCUGAUGCACGAAAGCGUGGGGAGCGAACAGG